rnacentral:rRNA from 1 species
UACGUAGGGUGCAAGCGUUAAUCGGAAUUACUGGGCGUAAAGCGUGCGCAGGCGGUUAUGUAAGACAGAUGUGAAAUCCCCGGGCUCAACCUGGGAACUGCAUUUGUGACUGCAUAGCUAGAGUACGGUAGAGGGGGAUGGAAUUCCGCGUGUAGCAGUGAAAUGCGUAGAUAUGCGGAGGAACACCGAUGGCGAAGGCAAUCCCCUGGACCUGUACUGACGCCCAUGCACGAAAGCGUGGGGAGCAAACAGG